rnacentral:rRNA from 1 species
AGUGAACGCUGGCGGUAGGCCUAACACAUGCAAGUCGAACGGCAGCACAGUAAGAGCUUGCUCUUACGGGUGGCGAGUGGCGGACGGGUGAGGAGUACAUCGGAAUCUACUUUUUCGUGGGGGAUAACGUAGGGAAACUUACGCUAAUACCGCAUACGACCUACGGGUGAAAGCAGGGGAUCUUCGGACCUUGCGCGACUGAAUGAGCCGAUGUCGGAUUAGCUAGUUGGCGGGGUAAAGGCCCACCAAGGCGACGAUCCGUAGCUGGUCUGAGAGGAUGAUCAGCCACACUGGAACUGAGACACGGUCCAGACUCCUACGGGAGGCAGCAGUGGGGAAUAUUGGACAAAGGGCGCAAGCCUGAUCCAGCCAUACCGCGUGGGUGAAGAAGGCCUUCGGGUUGUAAAGCCCUUUUGUUGGGAAAGAAAAGCAGCAGGUUAAUACCCCGCUGUUCUGACGGUACCCAAAGAAUAAGCACCGGCUAACUUCGUG